rnacentral:rRNA from 1 species
UACAGAGGUCUCAAGCGUUGUUCGGAUUCAUUGGGCGUAAAGGGUGCGUAGGCGGCGCGGUAAGUCGGGUGUGAAAUCUCGGAGCUUAACUCCGAAACUGCAUUCGAUACUGCCGUGCUUGAGGACUGGAGAGGAGACUGGAAUUUACGGUGUAGCGGUGAAAUGCGUAGAUAUCGUAAGGAAGACCAGUGGCGAAGGCGGGUCUCUGGACAGUUCCUGACGCUGAGGCACGAAGGUCAGGGGAGCAAACGG